UACGAAGGGGGCUAGCGUUGCUCGGAAUCACUGGGCGUAAAGCGCACGUAGGCGGAUUGCUAAGUCAGGGGUGAAAUCCUGGAGCUCAACUCCAGAACUGCCUUUGAUACUGGCGAUCUUGAGUCCGGGAGAGGUGAGUGGAACUCCGAGUGUAGAGGUGAAAUUCGUAGAUAUUCGGAGGAACACCAGUGGCGAAGGCGGCUCACUGGUCCAUUACUGACGCUGAGGUGCGAAAGCGUGGGGAGCAAACAGG
rnacentral:rRNA from 1 species